AGUGGCGGACGGGUGAGUAACGCGUAGGAAUCUACCUGAUAGUGGGGGAUAGCCCGAAGAAAUUCGGAUUAAUACCGCAUAAUCUAUUCGUAGUAAAGUGGGGGACUUUCGAGCCUCACGCUAUCAGAUGAGCCUGCGUAAGAUUAGCUAGUUGGUAGGGUAAAAGCCUACCAAGGCGACGAUCUUUAGCUGGUCUGAGAGGAUGAUCAGCCACAUCGGGACUGAGACACGGCCCGAACUCCUACGGGAGGCAGCAGUGGGGAAUAUUGGACAAUGGGGGCAACCCUGAUCCAGCAAUACCGCGUGUGUGAAGAAGGCCUGAGGGUUGUAAAGCACUUUCAAUUGUGAAGAAAAGCUAGUGGUUAAUAGCCAUUAGCCUUGACAUUAACUUUAGAAGAAGCACCGGCUAACUCCGUGCCAGCAGCCGCGGUAAUACGGAGGGUGCAAGCGUUAAUCGGAAUUACUGGGCGUAAAGCGUGCGUAGGCGGUUUAUUAAGUCAGAUGUGAAAGCCCCGGGCUUAACCUGGGAACUGCAUUUGAAACUGGUCAACUAGAGUAUGGUAGAGGAAAGUGGAAUUUCUGGUGUAGCGGUGAAAUGCGUAGAUAUCAGAUGAACAUCAAUGGCGAAGCAACUUUCUGGAACAUACUGACGCUGAGGUACGAAGGCGUUGGUAGCAACAGGAUAGAUACCCUGUAGUCCACGCGGA
rnacentral:rRNA from 1 species